CCCCACGCCGCGCGCGCCUCCCGCAGCCGCCGUGCCGAUGCCACGUGGGAGGCGCCGCCGUCGGCGCCGGGCCGGAACCGCGGCCCCCCUGACGCUGGAGACGGUUCUCGCCGGGCGGCGAGAGGAGGGGAGGUCGCGGAGCCCCCGGGACCGCAGCGGGAUCGCCGAGACCCGAUGGGUGCUCGGCGCCGUUGCGCCCGGCUCGCGGCUCGGCCUCCCGGGCCUAGAGGCGCUGGCGGCGGCGGCAGGGCCUAGAGGCGGCUCCCCGCCCUGGGCGGCGCCCUCGCUGCUCCAGGUGCCGGCGGCGGCCCAGCCGGCCCCGCGGCGGGAGGGCAGCGACCUGCCCGCCGGCGCACCGGCCGCCCUGGCCGUGUUGCGCCUGCAGCCCGGCGCCGAGGGCUCGGCGCGGGCGGCGGCGGGGGCCGCGCCGCGCCUGCGGACCGUCUACGUGAACCCGCGCUGGCUGGAGCGGCAGGCCGCGCUGGGGGCGGCGGCGGCGGCCAGCCCCUGCGCCGAGGCGGCGGCGGCGGCGGCGGCGAGCGGCGCGGCCGGGGCCCCGGCGGCCGCGGCGGCGGGGCAGGGCGAGGCGGCGGAGGCGGCGGCCACCCCCUACGUGGGGCUGCGGCGGCCGCUUGGCUACCAGCUGGCCAAGGCCACCAAGGAGCGGAUCUGGCGGGGGGAAUUCAUUGACCUCUUUUCCUUGCUCCACACAGAGCUGGCCACCGAGCACGGCCGGCGUCCGGGGGACACGCUGGACCAGUGGGUCUCGGCCUUCCUGGUGUACGCCAGCGUGCUGUGCGAGAAGCACCCGGCACGCUGCGGAGCCAUGUUCAAGUACCUGGACACCAUCCGCAAGCUGCAUGCCACCUACGGGGGCACGUCGUGGAUGAGCUACGACGAGGACUUUAGGAGGCGGGCGGCCAAGGACCCCACCCUGCCUUGGGGUGAUGUCGACCUGGACCUCUGGAUGAAGUGGAUGGCGCCCCUCAAGUCGCUAAUCACCAGGCGCCCGCGUGCUGAGGGCGAGAAGAAGGCCUCGCUGGUCCCACCACAGCCGCCACCGCCAGGAACCCAGAGCCCCACGAAGGAGGAGAAAAGCCAGACUCCAUGAAAACAGAAGGCCAGUUGGGAUGGCAGUCAGACUAGGUGGCCUGACUCCGUUGGUGUUUAAGUGGAGCUCUGGUAUUCUAGUGCAUUCUUUUACCUCUGCUUCUGUUGCGUUGCAAGCUGUGCUAGAGAAGACGUAGGAAAUUCAUUUUGCCCAAUCAGCAAUUGUAACAAUGGACUACAAACCUGCAGAGCAAGCCAGUUUGCUGGAAAACAGGAAUUCCUGCAGCGCAGCACUUGUCACAGACUAUCCAAAGAGGGCAAAGAUUCAGGAAGGUGAACAAAUUGAACAUUGGUUGAAUGAGGUCAGGAACAGUCUCCCGGAGGAGAAGCCUGCCCUAAAAUACUACUUUGAAAGUAUAAAUCAAUUUAAUGCGCAGAUUAACCCUUCUCAUUUGAGCAAACUUGUGUGCAAUCCUGGAUCUUUGCAGAUCACAGCCGGACACUUCAAAAUCUAUGUACUAUAUUUGUUUUAAAAAAAAAUAAAUCAUAAUUUGUCUUGUUACAGCUGUUACUUUUACCAUUUCAUUGAGAAUAUCUGCAACAUAAAUGUAUAUUUGACUUGAAACAGUAUCAUACACUUGGUAUAAUAACUCAGGUUGUCAACAGAAUUAUUCUGUGAGGCUCAAAAUCGCCUCUUCAUUUUUCUCUGAAAAAUGCAUUAACCAUUGCUGUCAUUGCCAGAAAGCAGUUGUAGCCCAAGUGUGCAUUACAAAAUUCUUGAUCGAGUAUAUUAAUUGACUUAAAUUAUUAUUCUGUUUUUAUCCUCUUAGAAUACUGAAGAUCCUGAGCAUUAGACUAGACCUUUGUAGUCUGGUGUUCAUGAAAAUCAUAUUCACUGGUUCACUGUUUAAUUAUUCUACAUCUCAGUGUUUUGUUUUCUUUUCCUUUUCCCUUGCAUACUAGGGAGUAUGAUCAAGGUAAUACUAUGGUCCAGUAACGCGCAUGAUGGUAAGGGUAUGCCUUUAGUUGUUUCAGGAUAAAACUGCCAUUAUCUGCUCUCCUUUACCUUUCUUGAUAGUUUCAAUAAUAUGCAUAACAUGAAGUGUUUGUAAAUUGACAUUAAACUGUUUGUGACUUCACCUAAAUAAAUUUUAUAUAUAAAAACUGUUAUUAAUUUUAGCCCUUUUUUUUCUUCCUCGUCCUUAUAUUGCCACUUCCCCUUUUGUAAUAACUUUUUUCCAUCACCUGACCUUUUAUAAAAUUUCUCGUUUUCAUUUAUUAAAGCACAACCGAAUCUUAACUAUUGGCAGAAAACAAUUCAGCCUUUGAAAUUUGCCUUCAAUAUGUUUCAUAAAGGCUUGGUAAUGUUGUAACUGUAAUUGUUGUAGUGUAUUCACCUUUGCCAGUUGUUGAGAAAAUGAUAGGUAUCAGGCCUUGAUCUGUCUGAAAAUGAACUAGCUGCUGCACUGAAAUACCAGGAUUUUAAUGGCCUCCAAACUGGGACUCUGAUCUAGUGAAUGCUGAGAUAUCUGGAUUCAAUACAGUAGAAUAUAGAGUGCUUUUACAGGUGGAAUUACAAAUUAUAAAAAAAUACCUUUUAUUUUUGAGAAGGGGCUUAAGCUCAACGAUCAGAUCACCUGUGCCAUUUUUCCCUUGUCCUGUUUUUGUAAGAAAUCAUAACUUGGUUACUCACUGGUCCAUGCUGUGUUUCUUCACCAUUGUUGCUACCCAUGAACCACUGCAGGCAUCUCCUGAGGAAGUGCCACAGUUGAAGUGCACAAGUAUGGGUCUUAACCUACUGACUCAGAGCAGACAAGCAGCCACAGUUUUGUUUUUCUUGUCCUAUUUGGGAGCAGCAUACCCAGCUGGAGUCUGAAACACUUCCUAAUGUUCUUUGCUGAGUCCUUCUGCCAAUAAUUUGUUGGGUUUGUUUGUUAGUCUCUCCAGCCUUCAUGCAGUCUGGUGCCCUUCCUGGUAUUCUGUCACCUCCCAGUUUCCUGGUUGCUACUGGUGCUGGACCACCCUGUCUUCUGUGUCUGCUGUAGGCAAUUGCCAGGGCUCUGCCUUGCUGUCCAUUGUCUGUGGCUGCUUUAAAAUUGCUGCCUGCUUUCAUAAAGAAACGUGCCUUUCAAAUUAUUAGCAGUGAUGUUUUCAUGACAUGUGGGACACCUCCCCCUCCCUUUUUUUCUUUCUUCAUAAGCUUUGCCUUCAGCCCUGUCUUUGAGCCACCCAGUAAUUUCACUGUGGCACUUUUGCAUUCUUGCUUUGGGGUUUAUUGUUGCACAUGUGCUUUCCCCCCUCAUUGCUGUCCUUUAAGCUUCUGCAUGAAAUUUCCUUGUCCAUUAGUUUAUCAGUAAAAAUGCUGGACUUCAAUGGGUUUCAAAUUCCAGCAGUUUCCAUGUGUCAUUGACACCAGGUCAAUGCUACCUUUACGGCUCCUGAUGUCGUCAUGUCACUGUUGAGCCAGCGUGCUGGCUGUGUUGAAAGGGUGGUGCAGAAUUGCAUAUCCUCUGCUCACUGUCGAUUUAUGAGUAGAUUUCUUCUGGUAAUUAUAAGCUAAACUCGCUGCCAUUUACAUGGCAUGGCAGGCAGCACGGAGAUGCUGACGAUACCUGCUGUCUGAAAUCGGAUAUUGAGGAUAACCCUUUAACUAAGUGAUGUGUGAAGAUGGAACACACGGUCGGGGAGAGGCUUGGUGUGGAAAGGAACCAUGAUGCUGUUAUUUGUUCCAUAACUGCUGAUCUGCAGUGGAAAUUUGUGAUACACAGGAAUAUUUUUUAAUACUAUUUCUGCAAGUCCUAUUACUUAGUAUGGAGGGGGUGUUCUCUUUUCAGUGUUGCUGUGUUUUCACACUUUUUUUCAAAUUAAAAAGUCUUGAGCGUUUGUACAAAGGUGCAGCAAAGCUUUUCACUAAGACUGUUGGAAUUUCCAGUUGGGAACACUUGGAAAAUUUGUGGGGAUUGAUUUGUUUGGGAGGACCAGCAUCUUACAGAAAAAUAGUUUUUUCAGUCAGUUGACUAGGAUUAAGUAGCAUGUACUUUGGGGGUAAUUUCAGAUGAGUUUGUAGCUGGGGAUUUCUAGCAAGACAGGGGUUUUGGCUUUUUUUUUCUACAGGUGUGCUUUUCAAUGUACUGUAUUGAUAUGCAGUUCAGUGUACAUUAGUCCAGCCCAAUACAGCACGUAAAUUUUUAUCUGUAUAAUCUUUGGGGUCUAGCACUCUGUUUUUUUUAUUUGCCUUUUUUUAAUUCCCCUGGGAAUUCUCUUCAAAACCAGUUGGCAUCUUUGCAGUUUGGCAGUUUACUGGGACAUUGGCUAAAUGGCAGCCAGCAUUUAAAAAGCAGGAUACAUGUUUUCAAUAUCUUACGUAUUUGUGAACUUGAAAUAUUUCAAGGAGUGCUUUUGCCUUUUCUUGAUGUUGUUGCUCUUUCUUUACUUUAAAGAACACUUUGUUCUUCCCAAUGUCUCGGUGCAGUGUUGCUGUGUUAGUAUUUGAAGGGCAGCAGGGGAAUGUUUACAUUAAAAAAAAAAAAGUGUUUUCUUUGAAUUUUUUAAUUGCAAACAUUUGUGACCAUAAAGUCAUUUCCACAAAACUCAGUCACUGUUUAUCUUAAUGUUUCUGGUUCUGUGCAAACUCUAAAACUAAGAUCACAUUCAGGUUUUAGUUUGGUUUUUUUUUUGUUUUUUUUUGUGGUUUUAUUAUUAUUAUUAUUUUCUGAACCAUGUGAUAUGAGCAUUGUAUCUGUACCUACAUCAGUGAGUGCAGAAAAUGCCACUUGCCAGUUAAAAUGGCAGUCCCAACAGUCUGAAGUCUAAAGCGUCAUGUGCAUUGCUGAUGUUCACAGUGUCCAUAAAUGCCCUAUAUUAUCCCAAAUUAUGAGGGUAUAUGAAGUUAGGAGGCUAUAUGACAUCUCGGCCCAUGACUGCGUGUGGCUGGUUGUGCAGAGGCCGUCCUGAGCAGGGGAAGGGCUGGGUGUGCUGGGCUUCGUUGGUGGGGUUGCUGAGCUGAAAAGCUGCAAGGCAAGGUGACAGCAGAGGACCUGGACCACGUGUUCCCCUAUAGAUGUCUCUGGCAUCAACAGAGACAAGACAGCUCCUUGAAAUGUAUAGCACAGGCCAAGAGGUUGUACCUCUGCCUAAACUUUCCACCCUCCACUUGGCUGUUCUGGCAUUUAUCUUCCACUGGAUCUCCCUUGUCUCCUCUGUUGUGUUUUUCACUCCAUAACAGUCGAAUGUCAUUUAUGCUGGUGUUUGGAAGGAAGAAAAACCACCAGUGCAUGCAAAUGGCUCCAUACCAUAUACAUGUCUCACAGGAAUGAGCCAUGCAGUGCUAAGCGAAAGCUUUUAGAGCUGGGGAAUGAAGUUUAUACAAGUACUUAACAGAGGUGUUGGGAUUACAAAUGUUAGCGACUCUGUAUUCUUGAGAAUAAAAUAAAUAACACUUUGAGGUGAAGAAACCUCUAGGGGUGCCUUUGCUCAGGGCCUUGCAGGUGUGUAUCUUGCUGUGCUUCCUGUGACUGUGCAGCUAGUGAUGGACCUGAAGCAGUGGGCUUCUCAAAGUGCUGUGGGUUGGGAGGAGAAGCAUUUUGUUUUCCUUCUUUUCUCAUUUUUCCUUGUCUUUCUGCCCUUACCAACAGUCCCCAAGCCAGAUAUGUGACUUCAUGAUCAAGUACUGGUGGAUAACAGGGGAAAUCUCACUGUCGUUACAUUGGACUGUUGGGAGAAAUGAGAAAAGAAGAUUCACAUACCCAGCUUAAUGUGUUAUCGGCCAGUGGAAAAGCUAUGGGCAGAGUAUCUCGGUGAGAUUUGGUACCAGAAAGUCAACGUGCACAUCGUUACUGCUUCAGGGGCUUUGUAGACCAACACAUGAGCAGAAAAAGGAGCCCUGGCCAGCAGGGGAAGCUGGCCAGGCUGCUGGUGAUGCUGACCCACUAAGCAGGAGGACACUUCUUGGAAUUGGUUACGGAACUGUACAGCUCAAAGAGGGAGCUUAAAAGAUCAGCCUUUUUCUUGUGCCUUAGCAUUCUUUGGGAAAAAAAAAAAAAAAAGUACACAAAAAGUACUUUCAUUGUAUAACUGAAAUGUGCAACAAAUUGUAAAAACACAUAAGCUACAGUUGCAAAUGCUUUCUGAGAGGAGUGUGGGUGGUAUCUGGUAUGCACCAUUUCCUAAAACAUGCAUUUUCUAUUUUAAGCAUUUUGAUUGCAUGCAAAUAAAAGAGGAAUAAAAUUGAAUCUUUCAAUACACAUAAGGUAGAGAACAAUACAGUGUACUAUUGUGACAAGAUUACUUAAAGCGUUCGGUGUUUUUGUUAGCAAGCACUUAAAAACGUAGGGUUUUUUUUCACUGUUCAAAACACUGAAAACACAAACUUCCAUCAUGUUACAACAGUGUGGAGAGCAGCACAAGCUGCUUGUGGCCCUGUACUGCACAGAAGUCUAAGUCAUCUUGAUUGUUCUCCAUCAGAAGGGAGAGGAAUGGACAAGUGUUUCUUUUACCUGCCUCUUGUAUGAGGAGGCUGUUAAUGUGGAGUGCUUCCCAAAGUGUAGAAGCUGAGAAGAAGACCUUGGGUUACCUGUUUUCCCACUACUUCACAACAACGGAACAGCUGGCCUCUGAGAUAUGUGGUACCUUUCUGCUUCUCUUGAUCUCUCCAGCCCACAGUCUCUGAAUGAGUAGUUUCUGCAGAGCAUGGAAUCAAAGAAACUCUUGGGUUUUGUCUUUUCCUGGUCUUUCUGCAGCUUUGGUCUUGACACCUUGUUCUGUGAAGUUGCUGCAAGUGGGAAUCACCAAGCAACAGAAAGGUGAGGAGGGCUGGUAGAGGUGUGUCCUCAUAAAUGUAAGCAAAGUUCAAUAAAUGCUACUAAACUUAGUCUGGGAAAUGUUGCUUAUUGCUUAAUUUGUAUCUCACAGCAGUGGAGGACCAGAAAAUAUAAACCUGCUUAUUGCUAUAGGUUGUGUUGUAUAGCUUUGUCUGUUAGUUUUCGCUGCUCAGAACUACUGGCAAUUAAAUUAACUUCUGUAUUGAUGCUUUAAUGCCUGUGAAGUUCCACCAGAUUUCCAGUGGUGUUAUUGAUUAAUUGCUUUAUGAACAACAAGCAAAGGGCCUGUUCUUUCUGGGAGAAAUGCCAUUGUGAAAAGGAGAACAAUGUCAGACCUCAAAGUGAAGGCUAGAGUUAUUUAGGAAACUGUAGGGAGUGCAACGUACCUAAUCCUCCCCUCUCUGUUGCUGCAACCUUUGAAAACAGGCAGGACCAGAGUCAAGGGGGCAGCAGUACCCUGGUGGGUGGGCAAAGACAACUGAGCCAUUUGAGACAGCUAAGGGUGGCAGAGUUGUCUUAAUAUUCAGUUAAUGACCUUCAGCUACGUUGUCCAUUUUAAGGAUUCGGGGGAAGUAGGAAACACAUCUGCAUGCACACUAUGCAUUAGUAGCUACACAGUUCUCCAGAAAAGGGAUGAAGUUUGGGGCUGGCUGAGAGAGUUGGGGUUGAUUCAGCCUGGAGAAAACUCCAGGGAGACCUACCUCAUUGUGGCCUUUCAGUACUUAAAAGGGGCCUAUAGGAAAGAUGGGGACAGACUUUUUAGCAGGGCCUGUUAUGACAGGACAAGGGAUGAUGGUUUUAAAUUAGACAAGGGGAGAUUCAGGCCAGACAUGAGGAAGAAAUUUUUCACAAUGAGGGUGGUGAAGCACUGGCCCAGGUUGCCCAGAGAGGUGGUAGAUGCCCCAUCCCUGGAGACAUUCCAGGCCAGGCUGGACGGGGCUCUGAGCAACCUGAUCUAGUUGAAGAUGUCCCUGCUCAUUGCAGGGGGUUGGACUAGAUGACCUUUGAAGGUCCCUUCCAACCCAAACUAUUCCAUGAUUCUAUGAUAGAUUCUCUGCUUUUCUUCCUUCCUACUCUGCCAUGCCAGCUGCCAAGGCUUUGGCAGGUGGAAAGGGCCAGUUCACCACCCCAGUGGCACCUGGACUGGGAGAAGCAGGAAUUUAGUUGUUGUCUAGAAAAGCUGAGUUUUACAAAUUUGUGUGUAAGCAUCGAAAAUUGUGGCUACAAAGCUAUGGGAGGCUGGAGAAAUCACAGUCAACAGUAAACUAUGGGAAAUACUCUUUCUUUGGAAUCCUUUUUCAAGGAGUAGGAAAUAGCAAAGUCUGUCAGGUGUUGCUGCAUGUCGUGUUGAAAAUCAAUACUGAGAGGUCAGAAAUUAUAAAGAUGCAUUAUGUGGGUCAAAUUGUUGAGUGUGACAUAUGAAUAUUCCUUCAUUGUGGUAUUUCCUGUUGCAGUUUCUACUCCGGUCUUUGUCCUGGAAUUCCUUUUUUUCUUCUUUUUUUUUUGGACUAGGAGUUCCCAGGGGGCAGUCAGUGAUGGUGUUCUGAGUAGAAACUGUUAAGAGCCUUCUGAGAUAUACCUGAAAAGUGUACAUGUUUACUACUUUGCUUUUAUAUAUGCUGGAUUUUACCUACUGUUGUUUUGUGUAGUCCAACAGUUACCACCCCCAUCAUCAUUUCCUUUUGUGUACACACACACAGGCACGUCGCAAGAAGAGCCAGAGGCCACGAAUGCAUUGCAAAGAGCAAGUUUUAUCUUAGUUACCUCUCUACUGGGGGAUCUCUGAAGCCACACCUGAGCUCCCAGGCACAGGUGACACCAGCGGGGACACAGGCGCUGGUAAAUUCAGCCCUGCUGGAAGAUCACCGGGCCUGCUGAGCUCGCCUGUAUUUCAAGGCUUCAGGCAGGCGCAGCCUCCCGCUCUUUUUCACAACAAAGCAGGAAUCUCAGACGUAGUGAUAAAGUGCCUGGAGUUUCUCAGAGGCCUAUGUUAUCUAGCACAGAGCUUCUACUCAUCAAGCACACAAGGUCAGUAAGACAAUUAGUGUGAUGUAUGUACCUUUUCUACAGACUGGUGCAAGUCACUUGAGCGUAUUUACAUUUAACUAACCUCCUCGCCAAAUCUUCCGCUAUAUCCCCAUACACCUUUGAAGAUGGAGUACUCAGCCUGCAUAAUUUUAAAAUAUUUAAGCAUUCCUUCUGAUUUCUUCUGGGUGCAGGUGCUUUCAACAUCUCUCUGCUAGGUAGCAGGUAUAAGAAGCUCAGCUUUUGUGUCCUCAAGUUUAGUUUGUUCCUGUUGGGUCCCUUGUCCUCUGAGACAUCACGCUGUUCUUUACAGUACAAGAUUCUACUUUUUAUGUUUCUAAAACAAAGCUUAGGCACCUGACCUUAAUUUUAGCAUUAUGCCAACAAAAUAUCUCUAUACCCCUUUUGUUUAAAGUGAAGCUGCUCCUACUGCAACUGCAUAAAAAUUACUCAAAUUUUUCUCAGUAGGUCAAACCAUCAUGUUCAGCAGCACACUUGUGUACAUUUAUUAUUAGAUUUUAUUUAUAAAAGUAUUUCCAAUCAAGUGCUUUCACCGAAGAAGUUAUUUUAACAAGUUGCAGUGUCAGAAACGUCAUUCUGUUUUGUUUUGUUUUUUUUUCAGAAAGUCAGCAAUUUCCAUUAAAGAGGUUUUCAGUACCUUUUCUAUCUCUAAUUAUUUUAAGAUAUUUUUGCUCCUUCUUAUUCCAUGAAAUGAAAAUGGAUUAAUCUAGGAAUUUGCCUAGAAAUCUCUCCUAAUUUACUGCAAAGCCUCGGAAGUACAUUAUAAUUAUCCUGCUGGGCAACUUGUUAAUGCAUAAGGGUGUGUGUGCUAACAAAAACAAUUAGUCCUGUCUUCUACAUCAAUGGAGGUGGCCUGCAAUGCAAACAGGAUUUUUCAAAGCAUUAUUAAAUCAGAAAUUUUAAGUCAUUUGUCUAUUUUUUUUUUUAUUUUUUUUUUUUUACUUAGAUGAUAAUCAAACUGAUGUGAACCAAUUUCUGGAGCUAUAUUUGUAGCACUAUCUUUAGUUUUUAUUUAGUAUCUAUUUUGGUGGUCCGGCUCGGAGCCAGAGUUUUGGAGUUUUUUUUGUUAACUUGAAGAUUUUCUGGCACAAUGUAAAAAUGGCUCUGCUUUAUUAUUCCUAACAUUGUGCAAAACCUCCCUCCAGAGCAGACUUUUCUAAAUUAACCAAUGCUCGUGUAGUUAUUUUCUACGGCUUAAAAAAAACACAGCUGAAAGGAGCAAUUAAAAAGCUUGAUUGCCGCUUUGAACUUGGAACUUAAUCUGUAUUUAUCAGGAAGAAACUCUCAUUUCAAGUUUGUUUGAUGCAGCCAUUUCCCCUGUCAAUGUUAGUUGUAUUUUUGGGUGUGUGCAGACUGUAGGAUCUGGCACUUAGGGAUUUAGAAAUUAUGGGCUCUCAUACAAGUGAUUCCAGAUGGUUGGAUUUUUCCUUCAGACACUGUUCUGGCCCUUUUCAAGACAGAGCUUGUACCAGCACGGUCGCAGCACUCCACCUCUUGAGAGACAUUUGGUGUAGAUAGACUAUCCUGUGCCUCUGUAAUGCUGCACUGAAUUUCUCUCAUCCAGACUUUUACACAAAAUAGUACUAAGCCUUCCCAAUACUGACACAAAGAGAAACACCUGACAUAUCCCCAGGGCUGCAGACAAGAAGCCAAGGAGAGAAAGCCAAAAGGACCCUGGCCCGGCAGAGUCCCUGCAGCUUUCCUGUGACUGUGGGGGGAAGGGAGAUGCUCAGGGAAGAGGUAGCUGAGCUGGUCCUGGCAUUGGGUACCUUAGAGCUGUGGCAGCAUCCCGGUGAUGUCGGGCUGCCGAGUCCGAGUCCCUGCGCGGUCCUAGGCUGCUCCAUAUAAACAGUGCCUCCAGAGAGACAGAAACACGAAGGAGUGGAACUGCUGCUCAUCUGUCACUUUUGGACAAGGCAAUUGUCCACCUCUGUGGGGUGAGCUACAGAGCCAGGACUUCACUCACAAAGCUGUCUAAGCGUACGAGAGCACUGGCUCCAAGUCACACCAGUACAGAUUGUGGCAAUGAUUAGACCUGCAUGUGAUGCUGACAGUUGCUGUUCAGGAUGCCAAAGUAUUUGGCCAGGCUACCUUAUUCCUCUUCUCCCAAAAUACAAAGCUAAGUUGAUAUAAAUACAUAAACCUCACAUAUGUAAACAUAAUGUUAAUUUAAUUUUCAAGACUUAAAUGAAUGACAAUGGUCUAAGCAUAAACAAACAAACAAAUAAACGGUGCCGUGUGUCUGUUUUAUUCAAAGCCACAUUUGCAAUUCAGAAUUGUCUCUUGUAGCCAUCAGGCUUUUCCCAGCUCUCAAGCAGAGAGGGAAUCUCUUGUCCAGAAGACAUCUGCCACGGGUGCUGUGCUGCUAGUAGCUGUGGAUAUGUUGUGUCCACUGACUGCAACAGCAGCCCCUGUCUGAAAUUUGGGGCAGAAGCAGCUGUUACCUCACCAGUGCACCACAGACCUUGUCACAUAAAUUCAAGGGACCUCUUGUUGGACCAACGUGAGCAAGUGGAAUGAGGACAGAUGACAAGCAGCUGGUAAGACACGAUGUCUUUUGAUUGCUCUCUUGGUGCACAUCAUUCUUGUAUCCCAGGAAAAUUUCCCACCAUCAGAAAAAUAUCUGUGUUUUAAAACAGGAUGCAUUUUCACAUGCACAGGAUGGGUAACCAACUAAGCUUCUAUAUAAACUUUUCUUUCCUGGGCAAUAGAAGUUCUCAUUAUCCUCUUGAGGCACUGACAGUCUUUUCGUUUAUUGCUUUUAGAUCUCCCAGCAGACUACAGAGCAAAUAACAAAUGAGUACUUCGAUUUUUACCAAGUUUUAGUAGAUGGUAUGUUUUCAUAACACAGAAAUUAUUACACAGAUUGUCCUUCUGGCUGGAGAAAUGAGUUCUAACACAUUGUGGAGCUUUAAGGGGAAGAAUUCAUUCUGAGGACAACCAUGUGUCCUGGGAAAAAAGAUGGGAAGAGAUGAUAAACAAAAUAAAUAAACAUUUGGGAUGGAAAUGGUGAGUUAGUAGCUGCCUAAAGGGGAAAGCAGAAUUCAAGUGUAUUUCUUCGCAUGCAUGUGCGGUAGUUUGUUCUCUUAAAUCAAGAGAAAGAGCACAGAGAGUCCACCCACUUUUUUCCAUUAGCUGCCUGCAUGCUCACAUCCAGAUAAUGUUUGCGUUUUCAGUGUAAACAGGAAUACUGUAAUGAGUCCUGGCCAACCAAUGGACAAUAUGUUGAAAUGGUUAAUUUGAUAUAAUGUUAAUUUAAUAUAUUGUUAAUUCUAUUUUUAUUUUUUUUUUACAUUUAGAUUUCAAGUUGAAAACUUACAAACGUGGAGGCUCUGCUGUUUGCUUUUAAACAUAUACACCCAUCCUGCAGCUCACCAAGAACUGAUAAGUCUAAGGAUUUCAUUGGCAAAGGAGGAUGUAUGGCUAAUGUGAGUCAGCAAAGCUGGCUCUGUGCAGGGCAAAGCUGGCUCUGGGGCUUGCCUGGGCUCCUGCCAGCGUCAGAGACAAGCCCGCUGAAAGCCCGAGGUCAGGGUUUGUGCACCACUGAAAUGUGCCUAUUGCUGGCAUCAGGGUCCCUGCUGCAAAGCAGCGCGGUUCAGAGCCAUCCCUCAGGACCAGCUUGGCAGCAGCCCCUGGGUGAGGACCUGCUUUGUCAUUCUCUUUGGGACACGAUGAAGGAACCCUGAGCCCAGCAAUGCGAAUAAGGCACGUUGCCGAGUCGUGUCAGUGAGUUAUGGUGCAGCGCUGGAAAUGUGGUGCUGAGCAGUGACUCUGUGUGAGCUCCUGCUCUGCCCUGUGCAGAGAGAUGUGUUUUAUUGUGCCCUGGGAGAGGGGAGAACUUUUGCAGCUUGCAAAGUACCUGCAACUGCUCUGGCUGAGCAUUAGGAUGAUUUUUCAGCUCCUUAAGCAAAGCAAAAGAUUAAAAGAAGAAAAAGCACUCUGUUUGAACUAACUUUCUGUUCUUCAGAAAAAAAAAUCCAAACAAACAAACAAAAACCUAUUUUUUUUUCCAGAUUAACCAAAACAUUUUUAGAGAAGAUUGGAGGCAGUUACUAGACCUAGCCCUAUUUCUUACUGAUAAGGAACAGACAUCAUCUGAGAAGGCGCCUUGCAAGGACAGUAUUUGCUACUUGUCAACACAGGCCUACAAUGCAGGAUUAUUUAUUGAAUCUGAAGUAUACCUCUUCUAAAGUUUCUUCUGAGCUUUCUAUUAUUUACACACAGUCCCUACGCUCUUUAUUUCUUUCUUCCUCUGUUGCUAAUCCAUGCUUUAAUUUUUAAAAAUUCUUUUUACUGUGAGUUUGAUUAAAAGCACCCCUGUGAACUUUAUUCUCCUUGCCUGACAGCUGGGGCCUUCACCAUGCACCCAUUUUCCCAGUCUGCCUCCUCAGGUUGUGUGCCAGAGCUUCUCUACACCCCAUCUCCCCACAGUGGCAUCCUCCCUUCUCUCCCUUUCGCCCGAGGUUCUGCAUGUCCUCCCACCUGCUCUUACCUCACCACACCUUUGAGUGCCAUGAAUGUGCUUCUUGUUCUCAGUUGGUCCUCAUGCUCAUCACCACCGUGGUGUCUCCGCAGGUCCCCAUCACAACCACCCAUCCUGGCAUCCCUGCCACCCACCAUCACACUGCUCCAGAGCUCCUCUCCCAACUUAGCCCUCAAGUUAACAGACUUUCCCGCUUGUGCUGCUGUUUUGUUUUCUUUCUCGCACACUGACACUCCUUACUCAGCAGUUUGGGACCCGAUUAAAACCAGGGCAUGGUUUUUGCAAAUAAUAAAUAAAUUCAUCUUUAAAGCACUCCAUGGCUCUAAUCAGGAAAGAAAAGGUGGAAAUACUCUUGGUCUCAUAUAACUCUCAAAGGUAAGGUGGUACACUGUGGGAGUAAGGGCAAAUGAAGCAAAUGAUACUCAGUUUUGCAGCCAAUUUUUUUUCGCUGUUUGGUAGUGCCAUCACUCAAUCAUCUCCUUUUGCAGCAUGUCUCAUAGGCCUGUAACACUACCUAAACUGGCUUAAUUUUUUGCUUUCUACUUCUCAGCACUCAGAUCUCUAUCUCUCUGGCUCCUGUGCUCAAGAAAUGCAACUAGAAACUCUCUUUUGAACACAUUGCUUUUGCUCAGUCAUUGUAACUUCUGCUGGACAAGCUGUAAUUCCCCUUCCCCUGCAAGCAGGCCUUUUUGUUUCACAUGCCUGAAAGUCAAUUAGCUGUAGCCUCUCUCCCCACGCAAAAGGCGCUAUGUACUGUUGUUCUCAAGUCUGCUCCCAAAUACUACUAACAAAACCACCGCUUAAGACUGGCUUGAGCAAACACUGAACUCCAAGUAGUUGUGCACUGUUGUAGCACAGCCUGUGAAGAGAGAAAAAACAUCUUCAGGUCAACUUGACUGACAUAAUCAGUCCUUCUGCAAUCAGCAUACGAUGGCUUUUGCUUAGUUGCUACUGUAUGCUCUAGCCCAGUACGUUCAGUACAUCCUGCAGCCUCAUAAAAGGUGCAGAUAUAGGACAGAAAAAAAAUCCAACCAAAACAAGUCAUCCCCGCUGCAAUCUCACAAUCUACUUGUUAUAGAUUGCAUAACUAAAGUAAAUUUGCUAAUCAAAUCAGGAAUAUGUUGGUAGUUGAUGAUUCACUGAGUUGUGUAAAUGUUAAGCCGCCACAGUUUGUCACAUUCUGGUUUUGCGGGUUUUAGCGGGAAGGAUGUUGCAUGCUCUGCUUUGCAAGUUUUGGCGGGAAAGCCUUUGCACACCCUGCUUUGCAAGUUUUGGCGGGAAAGAUGUAGUGUGCUCAUGGGGAGGGGGAUGUGCCUCACUGUGCGGGGAAGACUGACGGACAGCAUAGCAACCCAGCUAACCAAUCAGAAAGAAGAUCGGGGGGCGUAUACUUACAGACGGUAUAUAAACACUUUUUUUUCUGUAACCAAUUUGCGUGCCUUUGGGUGGACCAGUGACUCCCCGGGUGGACCAGUGACUCCCCGGCCGCCCAGCGCUGUUUUGCUUAUUUAUCUUUAAUAAAAGUUACUCUAAAUUUCUUUGAGUCAUAUUUGACUGUAACAUACUGAUGCAGAGCGCUGGGGCUGCAUCGAGUCCCAGAGAAGCAGACUGCAGGAACCCAUAUGAAAUGCUGCAGACAGCUGCUGACACUUUUUUUUCCUGAACAUUAACUACUCCCAGAGCAACCUACAGCGCUUUUUUUUGUGACUUCAGCAUGUCUCAUGCUGUGAGUCUGUAGCCAGAAGCAAGUGUGUAAGCAGGUGAAUGAUUACCUGGAAAGAUGAGGUAAUGCGGUUUCACCUCUGAUGUGAAACCUCCUGGCCCCCCUGACCAUCUUGAUAAGGCUGCCCCACUCUGCCUGGCAGAUCACAGCUUUUAAAAGACAAAGCAGAGAAACAUAUCUUAGGAAUCAAACUACAGGUCUGAAAAGGUCCAAGAGACAGCUUUGUGAGAAGCUUUUAUUUUUUUCCUCAGUCACCCUUUAUCAUGGGUUUGACUUUGGGAAAGGGAUCAUAGUCAAGAGAACUGGGAGUGCAUUCAGAUUUGCGGCUAGGAAAAAGAAACCAGCAGCAGACUGUGCUAAUAGAGCGUUGCAAUUAAGCCAGGUGAAAACUAAAACCAGAUUGAAACACUCCCAUAUUUUGAAGCCUUUGAAAUCCCAAACUGUAAUUUUUGUAUCUUACACAGAUACUACUGUUAGAUGCUUUCGUUAUCUGCCUUAGGCUGAGGUAAUCUUGGAGCCAGGGGUGAUUUUAUGACAGGUAUCUCAUCACAUCACACAUUCCUCCCUGUUCCACCCAGGGCUGAUACAUAAACAAAACAAUAACUACACUGAAGAUUUCUUUAAAAAAAUACCAUAGAUACAUCAAUAUUAAAAAAUAGUUCAAAAGCGGUGCUGUUAAAUAUAAACCACUUUAUCUUGAAAGCUAAGGUACUGUUGCUUUUUUUUUUUUUUUGUAGGAAAGUAAUUUUUACAACAUUUCACUGAAUGAGAUUAAGUCAAAACCAUUCUUUUAAGAAAUGAAGCACUCGUAUAAAACCAAUUAAGUUAUCCAGUCUGUUUCAGCCUGGGUGGGUAGCAAAGCAAAUAAGAGACUGACUUGAUCCAAUAUUGGGGAAUGGCUUAAGGAGAAAGGGCAUGGUGGGGAUACCGACCCUUUGUAUUAAGAGAAAUGUUUUAGUCAGGAUGGGUAGGCCCGGGUAGGCCUCAGUUAGCAUGAGGGUGACUAGGCAAGUGGAAAAGUACUGACCGAAAGUAACAGUGAGAUAAAGUGCUGACUGUAGGUUACUGAAGGUCACAGAACAGCUUGUUGCAAGCAACUUUGUGGAAGUGUAUUCGGGAGGAUAAGGAACUAGCAUACCAGAGAAAUCGCAAGUAGGGCUGAGCUAAUUUGCUAUGCACUCCAAUCAUAUAAUGACUAGUAGGCAUAAUUAAUGAUAACAGUAUAUAAGCGAGCUGUGUCCGAUCAAUAAACGAAGUAUGCUUAUCACUCAUAUUGAGUCGACUGCAUUUCUUCCUCCGCACGCGGGUCCUGAACUCUGAAGCGUUUCCCAACAUCUGGCGCCCGAACAGGGACCCGUGCUGCGGAUUAGGUUGUGGAACGGCGCCGGUUUGGCAGCGGCCGGCGGGCAAGAGCAACCGAACACUGUGCUGCGGUGUGUUGACUCCGAUGCCUGAACCGAUUGAAGUUUGAAGUUCGCCGUAUACGGGCACACUGGAAGGCUGCAAAGAGGUCUUUGAGCUCAAGAAGAGGUAUUUAUUUAUAUUAUGAGUACAGAGGUUAUGGAUUUCGAGGUGGCCCUAGAUAUUUUACAAAGCUUUUUAGAAAAGCGAGGGGUUAAUUAUAGUUGCGUUAAACAGCUAGCUGGUCUAGUAGCAACGGGGAAAAACUAAGGGGUGUUUUCAGGAUCCUGAUUUAUUGUUUGAUGAAGGAGAGUGGAGGAAAUUAGGGGACGUGUUGUGGGAUAUGGUCAUAGACGAGGAUAAAACAGCUAAGAAACUGAGGAAACCGUGGAGGGAAGUAAUUAAUAGUAUUAAGCGUCAUAAAGUGAAAAAGAAUUUAGCCGCGGUAGCUUCACAGAAACUCGGCAAAAUGGAGCCUUCCGCUCCGCCGAUGGAAACGGGCAUAUCUGCGUUAUCAGCGAAGAACCUUAAAAGACUAUUAACUUGGUGCAGAGGCAAUAGGUAUCCUGCUGACCUGUCAGGAGUUUUUCAAAUAGAGACUUGGAAAAAGAUGGGAACUGUGUUGUGGAAGGCAAUUAGUCACCGCGAAAGAUAUAUUCUCGGCCUUGUAACCAUCUGGAAACUGAUAAAUACUACAAUGAAGCAAUUAAAACCUGAAAAGACUGUUACGAGCAUUAGUGACUCAAAACUUGAACUUUGGGACAGUGUAGAGCAGAAAUUAUGGGAUAAAGUCAGCAAUGGACAUACAGAAGCUAAAUCAUUAGUAACUACAUGGAAGCUUGAACGGUCUGCUGCUGCCGGAAUUUUUGCAGCGUUGCAGCCUGAUAAGUAUCCUGAAAGUUGCGGUGAAAUUCACCCGGUUUGUGUCUGCGAUACCCUCCCUAUGCAAUCCCCUGCUGUGCUUUCGGCACCCCCGAUGGUUCAGCAGCUUGCUGCGGGGGGAGGAACAAUGCCAAACGGUUAGCCUCCUGUACCAUCAUCUAACCCUGGUGAGAACAGCAAGUUCAGAGGAUUGGUGUCAGACAACUUACUCAAAGAACCUGUGAAAGCUGAGAAUGCUAAAGUCGUAAACAAGUGUACUAUCAGUCCUUUUACCAAUUUUACCAAUCUGCUUUUCCUGCAUUUUAACCCUCUAACUUCCACGAGAGAACAGAAGAAGUCACUGAAAAUAGAACUGGACAACAGAACUGUGUGACAGAUUAGAUCAGUUAACAGCAAGUGAAUCUGACAGUCGGCAAUGUGGUCAUGAUAAUCGUGACGGGAAAGGGGGUGCUUCUGGGGACUCGGGGUAUAAAACUUAGAAGUUAAGGAAGCACUGGUUUUGGAAUUGGCAGUAGAGAAUGCUAAAGUUUGCUAUCAACAUGUUAUUUGUGAGUUUUACAGUGCAUAUUAUGUGCUGCUGUUUAUUGCCUCUCUGAAAGUCAAGCAGCUUGUCAGGAAUGUGAGUUAAUUGUUUUACUGGUUGUUGUUAGAACUGUUUCUUUGUGGUAUAAGUGCACCGUAAAACUUUGUCUCCACUUUUCCCACUCACGCUGCAAGCAGCCCUGUGCUUUUCCGUGGGGUCAGAAAUUACUGUUUUCAGUCGUGUUCAUAAAAAAUCGGUAUUGGGAGGUGUUUCAAAACAUAGGGAAGCACUUGGAAAUAUGAGGAAAGAAGAUCUUGUAAAAUAUUGUAAUUAAUGGUGGCUGCUGUAUAAGUUAAAUGAUUGGGAAAAGUGUCUGGGGAAUAGAAUCUUGAAGUAUAACACCUUAUUGCAAUUAAUGUUGUUUUUAGGGUGAGAAGAGUAAGACAAAAUAAAUCCCUACAAGAGAUCAUUAAAUCAUUUCAGACAGCUGAGAGAGAGUUAACUGAUAACACGCAGGUCACAGUAAACUUGCUGAAGUCUGCACAAUGUUUUCCUUAUUAGCCUGUUUUCUUUGUGGGUAUCUGUUUAAGCAUGUUGCAAUUUUGGUAGGUCUUUGUUAUAUGGUACAGUAAGUUCACAGACUGUUAAAUCAUGAGAAUCGGUUGACUCAAAAGGUGCGUUUUGUGAUAGUAUAAAAGAUCAUGAGUAAUUUAGCUCCCUACUGCAUGAACAUGAUGUUAAGAUUUUAUGUGUAGUAGCUGUUAUUUUUUUUUUUUUCUAGUGUGCUAGCUUUAUUCCAAUAUCCAGACUUGCGCAACUCUGUGACAAGCUGUCUCUCAUCUCGGUGCACUAAAUUUGGCCUUUUUGUAUGCACAUCAAGUGAAGAAUCAUGGUUUUAGAAUAACAGUUGUAGCGCACCAAAUGAGACACUAAUAAAAGGCCUUGCCCAGUCCAGCUUGCUGCGGGGGGGGGCGGAUGCCAAAUGGGGCUCCAGCGCGCACUGACCCAUUUUGUCAGGGAGACCCAGAGGUAUCUCCACCUGGCUGAGCAGUAAGCGGUUCAAGGUGCAAUGCAAAAAAUUGAGAUAUUGUCUUAAAUUGGUGUAAGUGUGAUUCAUCUGCUUAUUUGAACUUGGUGUAUGGUUUUCGUAUCUGAGCUCAGUAUUUUAGUUUGUAUAUUCAUAUUUGGUACCAAAAGAAUCUUGUUUGGGGAGAUAAUUACAAUGGGAACCGGUUCCACUGCUAAAAUUCCACCUUGCUCCCCCUUAGGAUGCAUCCUUACACAUUAAAGUAAUCGCUUAUAUUGCUAGAAAAGCAUUUAAAUUGUUAAAAUACUAUGAUAGAUGUGAACUUGGGGUAUUGUAUGAAGUUAUGAAGUUGUAUUUAAAGGUUGCUGGAAUGUGAACUGAUUUGGAUCUAGGACAAUAGAAUAAUGGAUUUAUGUUUAUUAUACUGGUUUAUACUGGUUUUUUUGACAUCUCUAAAUUGUAAAAGGUAAAUGGAGCUAAGGAAUGUGACUAUUGCUGAGCUACUUGAAAUUGCAUAUAAAGUGUAUUAUGGCUGAAAUGAAAUGGGAAAACAAAGAGCAAAAUAUCCCAGGCCUGUGUGCAGCUCAUUGUAACUGAGAAGUUUCCCAGAGCCUCCUACUUCGUACCAGCCAGUAUGCCAGCUGCGUGACCUUGGUUAUAUCUACACUGCACAGAAAGAAAAAACAACUGGAAAAACGUGGCUGCCCGCUUUUAAAGCAGUGAAAGGGGGGGUUCUCUCUCCCCCCACUGCAGCGAUGUAAUACUGAAUGGAGCCGUCCGAGGGUGAAGUUUAAAGGCAUCCUGAGCAGACCCGUAGUUUUAAUUAAACUGGACAAUUAAACCAAAAAUUUGUUGAUGGACUUAUCCUAUGGUAAUUAAUUGUACGAGACUUCUUAGUAAAUUCACCAUGCUAGUUUUUGAGGACAUGGGAGACAACGAAAGAAAGGCCGUUUUUUGAGACAAACGGAAUGCCAAAUAUGGAACAAAGUUUUAAUACGUGAAUUCUUGUAUUUGCCUAAAAGUCCUAUACCUCUCUUGGGUCAGGAUUUGUUAAGUAAAUUGUAAGCUCAAAUAACGUUUUCUGAGAAUUCUGUUUAGUUGCAUAUCCUACAGGAAGGUGCUUGGAUGUUGCAGAUCUGCUUGUGCAAGUGAGAAAUCUUCAAGGAACUUAGCAGCCAAUGUUUUUGAUAAAGCAGAUACUACCCUGAGAAAUCUGAAACAGGACUUCAAUCCGGUAAGGGAAAAUAAUAUCCAAUAAAUAUGACAGCCAAAAUGGAGUUAGAAACUUUGAGGGAUGAAUUUAUGACAGCUUUACAGGAUGACUGCAUUUGAUUGGACUUACAGAUUUGUCUAUGAAACAACCUGUGGCUAUUGUGGGACAGUAUGAUGAGAAUGCUAACAGACUAAUAUACCAAUUGUCACUCUGAUCAAGAAAAUGCAGGGAAUGAAUUUAAGGCCAUGAUCCUUUUGUCAUAUAUGUACCAUUUGCGAAAUUUAAGGAACCUUUGAAUUUGAUUUGCGAUUUUGAGUACGUAGUCAAGAUCCAACACACGUAUCUGAUUCUGAACUGUGUUUUUGUUUUGUUUUGUUUUGUUUUGUUUUUUAAACAAAAAGGGGAAUUGUCAGGGGGGUUGUGUGUGGUGAGUCACUUGUAUCUAAGUGGUGCAGCCUGGGGUUGCCCUGUGAUGAAACACUUUGUACCUAUGACCCAAAACCAUGCUAAAUCAGAAAGAACCCGCAUUAGUUAUGGUCAAAUCACUAGUUAACGUUCAAUGGAAAAGUCCAUACCAAUUGAUAACCUGGGAGAGAGGUUAUGCUUAUGUUUUUACAGAUCAGGAGCUGCAAUGGUUGCCAGCACGAAACGUGAAACCUGUGUUAUCUUCCUGACAAUGAUUGUUGCAGCUGCUGUGUUUUGGAUGCAUGCACAGACAAAGACUAACAUGUGGAUUACUUUAGCCAACAUGACUGACCACCUAUAUGCCUAACUACGAUGUCUCUGGAAAAAACGUUCUACACAUGCUUGGUUGGUGUCUUCCUUGAUGACUACAGCAGCAUCACACGACUGUUUCAAAUAGUGGUUGAUGCAGAGGCAUUGCAACGAACUGUAAUAAUACUAACACGGCACUUUGGAUUAAUUGCCACCUGGAAGCAGACAUCGAACCACAGGAACUGGAAUUGCUGGCAUCUAUGCCCAUGGAUGCUUGUAUUCAGCCGGUUUGUGAAAAGUGUCAGAACAGUAUACAAGAACAUGAAUGGACAAACUACAAAAUGUUAAUGCUACCCUUGGUGACUACAGAAAUGAAACUCGACGGUGUAAUGCUUCACAGAAGAAUGCAAGGGAUAUCAUUGACAGCGACCCUAAAACCUCCUGUAUGGUGUAUUCUUGAUCUGUGAAGAUAGAGCCUGACCAGGAAUUCCUUCUAACGCUGUUGGAGGACUGUGUAUUUUGGGACUAUUAACUCUCUUAACGUCCAAUGUAUCUAUGAUAAUAGAUCACAAAAGAGCAAGACGAGAAAAAUACUUUUAUGGAUUUACAGAAUAAGUCGAGAUCCAUCCACGAGGAGAUUAAACAACUUAUGGAUCAUACACAAAAGAUCCAGAAAGAUGUGGGCUUCUUUGGGCUAGAGGGGCUGUCAAACUGGUCUGGGUUAGGAGGAUGGUUAAAAGGGCUUUUGCAAAGUAUGCUUAUGUUACUUAUUAUAAUAAUUGUAGUAGCAAUGUGCAUAAGUUGUACCUUUUCAUGUCUUCGAAAGCUUUUUGAACGCACCAUGAAUCAAGCAAUGCUCGCGCAAAAAGAAAAAGGGGGAAUUAUUGGGGAAUGGCUUAAGGAGAAAGGGCAUGGUGGGGAUACCGACCCUUUGUAUUAAGAGAAAUGUUUUAGUCAGGAUGGGUAGGCCCGGGUAGGCCUCAGUUAGCAUGAGGGUGACUAGGCAAGUGGAAAAGUACUGACCGAAAGUAACAGUGAGAUAAAGUGCUGACUGUAGGUUACUGAAGGUCACAGAACAGCUUGUUGCAAGCAACUUUGUGGAAGUGUAUUCGGGAGGAUAAGGAACUAGCAUACCAGAGAAAUCGCAAGUAGGGCUGAGCUAAUUUGCUAUGCACUCCAAUCAUAUAAUGACUAGUAGGCAUAAUUAAUGAUAACAGUAUAUAAGCGAGCUGUGUCCGAUCAAUAAACGAAGUAUGCUUAUCACUCA